CCAGUGUGCCACCCCUAGAGGGAACAGGACCGGAAGCCCCUAAGGCCCUCUCUGUCUCUGGGCCAGAGUCACACAGCCAUGGACAACCGGAAGAAUCAGCCCAGCCCAGCGUGAGGCCCUGUGUCAACUGCCACACAGCGAGGCUGUCCUGGGAGGAACCGCAGGGCGCCAUGUACCAGCUGCCCUACAACCCAUGGGCUCCGGAGCCAGGUACAAGUGGGGAGAGCCUCAAGGCUGUGUUUCCUAAAGUAAUCUGGCAUAAAAUGCUAAAAAUUCAUUAUAUUUGUGGAUAAUAUGGAUGGAAAUCCAAGUCUAUUCUCAUUGGUAGUUUUUGCUCCUUUUUGGUAAUGCUAAUUUUUGGUAAUGGAGCAAUCACCAUAAAAAUAGAAUUUGGUGGGUAGCACCCUCAUUUUUUGUAUGAAGUACCUUAUGCACUGGAGGAAGUGCCACCUCGAGGGGGUAGUUUGGCAGUGCCCGAUGGCACAGCUGGCUCCCAGCCUCACAGGAUGGGUGGGGACAGACUCAAGUGUUCUCUCUCUCUGUCAGAUGGGACUUGGCCUGGAGGCCUUCUUUUCUUUGGCACUUUCUUGAUGACUGUUUCCUGUUGUGACUGUUCUCAACCCAUCCCCUUGCUACACAGGGUGGCAGGGAAUGAUUGCAUCGAGGAUCCGGGGUUUCUGCGCUGUGAGGUCUGAAUUCCAAGCAGGAGUGGAAGGCUGAGUGAGCUGAAUCUCAGGACAUUGAGAAAGUGGUAGACCUUCCUGUGAGCCUGUGCAAGCCAAGAGAGGUGCAAACCAAUUCAUCCUUCCGUGAGUUAACAAGAGGCCAAUUCAUCCUUCCUGUGAGCCAACCAGCACAAAGCCUGGGAGACAAGCCCCCCAGGCUGAGUAGUUAGCAACUGAGAUACAAAAACAACUUAAUGCUUGUAUUGUUUGAUUGACUUUGUAGACCUACGGCCAAUAGUCUAAGCAUCUAUUAAGGGGAUAACAAUAUGCAAUAUAACAAAUAUGGGGGAAUUUCCUUCUGUCUUGUUUUUGAAAUACAAUAUUAUUCUCACUGCUUC